ACGCGAGGUUCCAGCCGCCCGUACCCCAAACCGACUCAGGUGGUCAGGUAGAGAAUACCAAGGAGAUCGAGAGAAUCGUGGUUAAGGAACUCGGCAAAAUGCCCCCGUAACUUCGGGAGAAGGGGGGCCAUCCACUUAUUAGGAUUUACUCCGAAAGGGUGUGGUGGCCGCAGAGACUAGUGGGUAGCGACCGUUUACUAAAAACACAGGUCCGUGCCAAGUCGCAAGACGAUGUAUACGGACUGACGCCUGCCUGGUGCUGGAAGGUUAAGAGGACCGGUUAGCCGCAAGGCGAAGCUGAGAAUUUAAGCCCCAGUAAACGGCGGUGGUAACUAUAACCAUCCUAAGGUAGCGAAAUUCCUUGUCGGGUAAGUUCCGACCUGCACGAAUGGCGUAACGACUUCCCAACUGUCUCAGCCGCGAACUCGGCGAAAUUGCAUUACGAGUAAAGAUGCUCGUUACGCGCAGCAGGACGGAAAGACCCCGUGACCUUUACUACAGCUUGGUAUUGGUGUUCGGUGUGGCUUGUGUAGGAUAGGUGGGGGACUGUGAAGCAUGGACGCCAGUUCAUGUGGAGUCAUUGUUGAAAUACCACUCUGGUCACUCUGGAUAUCUAACUUCGAACCGUAAUCCGGUUCAGGGACAGUGCCUGGUGGGUAGUUUAACUGGGGCGGUUGCCUCCCAAAAAGUAACGGAGGCGCCCAAAGGUUCCCUCAACCUGGUUGGCAAUCAGGUGGCGAGUGUAAGUGCACAAGGGAGCUUGACUGUGAGACUGACAGGUCGAGCAGGGACGAAAGUCGGGACUAGUGAUCCGGCAGUGGCUUGUGGAAGCGCUGUCGCUAAACGGAUAAAAGGUACCUCGGGGAUAACAGGCUGAUCUUGCCCAAGAGUCCAUAUCGACGGCAUGGUUUGGCACCUCGAUGUCGGCUCGUCGCAUCCUGGGGCUGGAGUAGGUCCCAAGGGUUGGGCUGUUCGCCCAUUAAAGCGGUACGCGAGCUGGGUUUAGAACGUCGUGAGACAGUUCGGUCCCUAUCCGCUGCGCGCGUAGGAAGUUUGAGAGGAUCUGACCCUAAUACGAGAGGACCGGGUUGGACGAACCUCUGGUGUGCCAGUUGUUCCGCCAGGAGCACCGCUGGUUAGCUACGUUCGGGAUGGAUAACCGCUGAAAGCAUCUAAGCGGGAAGCCGGCCUCAAGAUGAGACUUCCAUACCUUCGGGUGAGAGGCUCCCAGCCAGACUACUGGGUUGAUAGGCCAGAUGUGGAAGCACGCCAGCGUGUGCAGCUGACUGGUACUAAUAAGCCGAUGACUUG
rnacentral:rRNA from 1 species